rnacentral:rRNA from 1 species
GCUUCGGAAGUAAGAAGGCGAACUGCUCAGUAACACGUAGCUAACCUACCCUUAAGUCAUGGAUACCCUUUGGGAAACUAAGGUUAAACCACGAUAGAAGAUUUGCCCAAAAGACUAAUCUUUGAAACUCGUGCUUAAGGAUGGGGCUGCGGUGGAUUAGGUUGUUGGCGGGGUAAUAGCCCACCAAGCCUAUGAUCCAUAAGGGCUCUUAGCGGAGAGGCCCUGAGAGGGAAUCUGAGACACUAUUCCCAGCCCCACGGGGUGCAGCAGUUAGGAAUAAUCUACAAUGCACGAAAGUGUGAUAGUUUGAAUCAAAGUGCUUCUCAUUCGAGAAGCUUUUGUGGAUGUAAAAAGUUCCACGAAUAAGGACUGGGUAAGACUAGUGCCAGCCGCCGCGGUAAUACUAGCGGUCCGAGUCGCAGCCAUUUUUAUUGGGUCUAAAACAUCCGUAGCUUGCUUGGUAAGUUCCUUGUGAAAUUCUAUGUCUUGAGCAUAGAGCGUGCAAGGAGUACUGCUAAGCUAGAGACUGGGAGACGUUAGAAGUACGUUUAAAGUAGCGGUUGAAUGUGUUAAUCUUAAACGGACUCACAACAGCGAAGGCAUCUAACGAGAACAGUUCUGACAGUCAGGGAUGAAAGCUAGGGGCGCAAACAGGAUUAGAUACCCUGGUAGUCCUAGCCGUAAACACUGCACACUAAACAUUAGUGUCUCUUCGAGGGGCAUUAGUGCUGUAGGGAAGCCGAAGAGUGUGCUACCUGGGAAGUAUAGUCGCAAGGCCGAAACUUAAAGGAAUUGGCGGGGAGACACUACAACGGGUGACGCGUGCGGUUUAAUCAGACUAUACGCUGAGAACCUCACCAAGGGCGACAGCAGGAUGAAGGUCAGUCUAAAGGGCUUACCUGACACGCUGAGAGGUGCCGCAUGGCCGACGUAAGCCUGUGUCGUGAGAUGACCUGUUAAAUCAGGUAACAGGCAAGACCCAUAUGUAUAUUUAAAUUUCUAUAUACAGAUUGCCUUGGAAACAAGGAUGAAAGUGUGGGCAAUGUCAGGUGUGUAAAGCCUGAAUCCUUUGGGCUACACGCGCGCGUCAAUGGCGGAUACAAUGAGUCGCGACUCCGAAAGGAGAAGCUAAUCCCUUAAAGUCCGUCCCAGUCCAGAUCGGGGUUUGCAACUCAGCCUCGUGACGUUGGAAUCCGUAGUAAUCGGGUG